UACGGAGGGGGCGAGCGUUAUUCGGAAUUAUUGGGCGUAAAGGGCGCGUAGGCGGCCGGAUAAGUCAAAGGUGAAAUCCCUCGGCUCAACUGAGGAACUGCCUUUGAAACUGUUUGGCUCGAGUCCGGGAGGGGGUAGCGGAAUUCCCAGUGUAGCGGUGAAAUGCGUAGAUAUCGGGAGGAACACCAGUGGCGAAGGCGACUACCUGGCCUGUUCUUGACGCUGAGGCGCGAAAGCUAGGGGAGCAAACGGG
rnacentral:rRNA from 1 species